GUAGGUGGCAAGCAUUGUCCGGAAUUAUUGGGGCGUAAAGCGCGCGCAGGCGGUUCUUUAAGUCUGAUGUGAAAGCCCCAACGGGCUCAACCGUGGAGGGUCAUUGGAAACUGGAGAACUUGAGUACAGAAGAGGAAAGCGGAAUUCCACGUGUAGCGGUGAAAUGCGUAGAGAUGUGGAGGAACACCAGUGGCGAAGGCGGCUUUCUGGUCUGUAACUGACGCUGAGGCGCGAAAGCGUGGGGAGCAAACAGGAUUAGAUACCCUGGUAGUCCACGCCGUAAACGAUGAGUGCUAAGUGUUAGGGGGUUUCCGCCCCUUAGUGCUGCAGCUAACGCAUUAAGCACUCCGCCUGGGGAGUACGGCCGCAAAGGCUG
rnacentral:rRNA from 1 species